rnacentral:RNase_P_RNA from 1 species
GUAGAUAGUAAGGCAGUUGCUUAAUAUUUUAUUAAGAGGAAAGUCCGGGCUCUUUGGAACAAAAAACCAGGUAAUACCUGGUAGGGGUGACCCUAGGAAAGUGCAACAGAAAAUAAACCGCCUAUUAGGUAAGGGUGAAAAGGUGCGGUAAGAGCGCACCGCUUGUUUGGUAACAAACAUGGCAUUGCAAACCCUUUUUGGAGCAAGGCCAAAUAGGAAUGACAAAUGAAUUGUUCCAGUUUAAGUCGUUCGGGUAGGCUGCUUGAGAUAAAUGGUGACAUUUAUCCUAGAUAGAUAACUGCUAAAUUUCAUUGAAAUUACAGAACCCGGCUUAAUAGCUAUCUACUUUA